UGUUAAAAAUUUUAUUAAUUUCUACUAUUAAAAACUGGCGUAAAUGACGGAAUAACCUAAUAGUUACAUGUGGUGUGCUAUAUGUACCUCAUGCUGGUGUAUCGAGACUAGUUUUUAACAAUGAAAAUUGAAAGAAUUUUUAACA
rnacentral:pre_miRNA from 1 species